UACGAAGGGGGCGAGCGUUGUUCGGAUUUACUGGGCGUAAAGGGCGCGCAGGCGGCUCAUUUUGUCAGGCGUGAAAGCCCCGGGCUUAACCUGGGAACUGCGUUUGAUACGGAUGGGCUAGAGUUCGGGAGAGGAGAGUGGAAUUCCCAGUGUAGAGGUGAAAUUCGUAGAUAUUGGCUGGAACACCCGUGGCGCAAGCGGCCACCUGGCAGAGUUCUGACGCUGAGGCACGAAAGCGUGGGGAGCGAACCGG
rnacentral:rRNA from 1 species